rnacentral:rRNA from 1 species
UACGAAGGGGGCUAGCGUUGUUCGGAAUUACUGGGCGUAAAGCGUAGGUAGGUGGUUUUCUAAGUCAGGGGUGAAAUGCCGAAGCUUAACUUCGGAACUGCCCUUGAAACUGGGAGACUAGAGAAUAUUAGAGGUAAGUGGAAUUCCUAGUGUAGGAGUGAAAUCCGUAGAUAUUAGGAGGAACAUCAAUGGCGAAGGCAGCUUACUGGGAUAUUACUGACACUGAGCUACGAAAGCGUGGGGAGCAAACAGG